rnacentral:rRNA from 1 species
AGGAUGAACGCUGGCGGUAUGCUUUACACAUGCAAGUCGAACGCAAGUUUUUAACUUGAGUGGCGGACGGGUGAGUAACACGUGAGAAUUCGCCUUUAGGCGGGGAAUAACUAUGGGAAACCAUAGCUAAAUGCCCCAUAUGCUCGUAAGAGUGAAAGGAGAAAUCCACCCAAAGAGAAGCUCGCGGCUGAUUAGCUAGUUGGUAAGGUAAUGGCUUACCAAGGCGACGAUCAGUAGCUGGUUUGAGAGAACGAUCAGCCACACUGGAACUGAGACACGGUCCAGACUCCUACGGGAGGCAGCAGUGGGGAAUAUUGGACAAUGGGCGAAAGCCUGAUCCAGCAAUGCCGCGUGAGUGAUGAAGGCCUUAGGGUUGUAAAGCUCUUUUACCCGGGAUGAUAAUGACAGUACCGGGAGAAUAAGCUCCGGCUAACUCCGCGCCAGCAGCCGC